UGCAAGUCGAGCGGUAAGGCCUUUCGGGGUACACGAGCGGCGAACGGGUGAGUAACACGUGGGUGAUCUGCCCUGCACUUCGGGAUAAGCCUGGGAAACUGGGUCUAAUACCGGAUAUGACCUCCUAUCGCAUGGUGGGUGGUGGAAAGAUUUAUCGGUGCAGGAUGGGCCCGCGGCCUAUCAGCUUGUUGGUGGGGUAAUGGCCUACCAAGGCGACGACGGGUAGCCGACCUGAGAGGGUGACCGGCCACACUGGGACUGAGACACGGCCCAGACUCCUACGGGAGGCAGCAGUGGGGAAUAUUGCACAAUGGGCGAAAGCCUGAUGCAGCGACGCCGCGUGAGGGAUGACGGCCUUCGGGUUGUAAACCUCUUUCAGCAGGGACGAAGCGCAAGUGACGGUACCUGCAGAAGAAGCACCGGCUAACUACGUGCCAGCAGCCGCGGUAAUACGUAGGGUGCAAGCGUUGUCCGGAAUUACUGGGCGUAAAGAGUUCGUAGGCGGUUUGUCGCGUCGUUUGUGAAAACCAGCAGCUCAACUGCUGGCUUGCAGGCGAUACGGGCAGACUUGAGUACUGCAGGGGAGACUGGAAUUCCUGGUGUAGCGGUGAAAUGCGCAGAUAUCAGGAGGAACACCGGUGGCGAAGGCGGGUCUCUGGGCAGUAACUGACGCUGAGGA
rnacentral:rRNA from 1 species